CCUGGCCGUGACUCAGCAGCACAGUCCCCAGGCUGCUGGGGACGUCCAGUGGAGGGGACACGGAGAGGCCUGACACCAAGAGGCUCUAAGCUGUCCAGUGGGCGACGCUUUCCAGAACAAGCUGGCUCCUAGGGUGCUGUCCCCGCCCUGCCAUGGUUGGCCUCCCAGGUGGCAGCCUUCUCCAUUGUCCAUAGCAUCUCCAUGAUGGGCCCUAAACUGGGUUGAGGGACAGACCUUCAGUCCGGCCGAGCACCACAGAAGCUCCCUGUUUAAUGGGGUACAGCCGAGCGGGCCUGGGGGGCGCAGCAGCCAAGCGUUCACCGCGGCCCAAGAGACUCAUGGGUGCCAGACACCACCUGGCAGCACGGGCUCAGCUCAGCAGGUGGAGGCCAAGGGCCUGCGGGGGCUCAGGCCUGUUAGCCUCACAGGAAGCCAACGGGUCACACCAAACCCCUCCAGCUGGGAACCAAGAUACACUGCUACUAUGUGGCCAACGCGACCUGUUCUCAAGGCCUGAACAAGAAGUUGCUCAGGAAGGGCAUGCCACUCUAUGAAGCCUCCCAGGCAGGGUCCUGUGAGUAGGAGGUGCGACCUGCUGUGUCAAACAAACUCUUGUCCUUUCAGGGUGGGCCUGGUGGGAGGACAAGCUCCAGGGUGGGAACCCAGAGACCACGGGCGUGUUGGGUGGCUUGUGGCUACUCGGCCUAGCCGCGUGCUGCGGGGCACAGCAGGGGCUUGCCCACAGGUGUGACCGAGCCGUCCCAGAGAGCUCCAGAGUGGGCAAGGCCCGCAGACAGUGCGGUACAGUUCCCUCAGGACAGUCCCUGCAUCCAGCGGUGAGCCUGGAAAGUGACCCUCAGCCUGCCGGACCCACUCCCGGGUAGGCAGGGCCAGGUGCCCGGGAUGGGGCGUGCUGGGCAGCGGCCUGCGGACAGGUGCUGCAAGCGUGACUCAGCAGCCUAGUAGCCUGACAGCCACCCCGCCCCGGGCCGCCCGCGGGUCAGGUGCCCAAGGACAGCCUCCCGCCCGCGGGUCAGGUGCCCAAAGAAGGCCCCGCCCCCAAACCAGCGGGGGCAGGGCUGCCACUGGGAACUCCUGUGCUUUCUCACAUUUGGCCCUUGGGGACCGUGGCGGGCGGUGGGUUUCGGGAGGGCUGCAGGACUCAGGAAGAAAAGAAGCCGGGGGCGCUGUGGAGACCUCUCCCCAGGGGAGCCGGGCCCUUCCCGGCAUGCCCUGCGGCCGGCGCCGCCCUGCCCCCACCUAGGCGGCAGGAGAUAAACAAGGCGGUGGCGGGAAACCCCCUGGCAGGGCCCUCUGCUCCGGCCUCCGCGGUCAGGUGGUCUGGCCGGCAGUGAGUCAGAGUCCCAUGACUGCUGUCAUAACAGGGGAUCCCCGGCCCUCUGCUGCCACCCAUCUCAGUGAGCUCUUCCUUGGCGGCAGGGGCGGGCAGCGGACCCAGGGCCUUCAUGCCCGGAGGACCCCAACCUCCCUGCAUCCACUGGCCCGGUUCCCACCCUCCAGAGCUGGUGGGACACUCAAGGAAGGCCUGGCACCUAAGUCAGGAGACCAGCUAUCAACCACUUGCCAUCUUUGGGCAAAUGACCAGCCUGUUUCCUCAUCGCUGGAGUGAGUUGCCCCUUCCAGGGGGGCCGUAGGUGUGCAAGUUGUUUAGCUGCCCAAAUUUGGGGGGUCAGGGAAGAGACUGCAGAGGGGUUUUGGGGGACAGAAUAGGGAGCCAGCAAAGACCUGAGCCCAGCGGGUCUGGGAGUCAAGCAGGGGUGGGCGGAAUGUCUGAUUCUGCUUUUUGCCACCUGAUGUAUUGUAGCCACGUCCUCAGUUUUCCCCUUCCCUUUUCCUAAAUAAUCUGUCCCUUAGCAAUGGUUUUCUCCAAAGUUCAUUUUCUUUGGGAUGUGGAGUCAAGUGUCCAGCCAGAGACAAGGCCGAGCGUUUCUGGGCAAUCCCUUAGGAGACUGAGGACCACAGGGGGCAAAGGCCUUCCAGACCAGCUGUAGCCCACGGGAGAGCGUCUCCAGGCCUGCAGUGCAGCCACUCCCUUCCACUCACUCACAGGGCAGCCCCUGCUCGGUUCCCAAUCAGGCCAGCUUACUCCACCUGGAGACUUUUCUCAGGCCCCUCCUCUGAUCUGAAACCCUUUCCCCUCCAGCCCUGCAUGGCAUCGUCCCACCCUGAAUCUGACCUCCUCAGUGGGGCUUUCCCUGCCUUCUCUCUUGGAAAAAUCCCUGAGCACUGCACAUCACCUUUUAGCCCUUUCCUGCUGCAGCUCACAGCCCAGACAAGGGGUGUCAGGGGACAAGGGAGUGGAGAGUAUGCCCACAAGAGGUUUGGAAACGUAUUUCUAAAGGAAAAGGCGCUCAAGGUUUAGACAGACGUGGCUAGAGAAUUCGGUCAUGCCAAGGUGUUGGGGAGUGGGGACACCAGAAACCCUCUGGCGCGGCUGCUGGGGGCAUUUCUCCAAAUAAAUUCUCACACUCCCCAACUCAGGGAUGGGGCGAGACCUUGGGCCCUCCAGGCUCACUGAGGGAUGCCUAACGUUGCCUAGCAAUGUGCAUGGCCAUGAAGACGGCUGUCACCAACACCAAGUGGGGAGAGAGAGGCUGGCAGAGGCCUGCUGCUGGGCUGCCCCUGGCCAGAGACCUAGCCCCACAAACAGAGGGCCAGUCUGACUGCAGAAGGUUCUGGAAAGGCUGGACACGGUGGCUCACGCCUGUAAUCCUAACACUCUGGGAGGCCGAAGCAGGCGGAUUGCUUGAGGUCAG